rnacentral:lncRNA from 1 species
UCACCUAUCAUAUUAACCCCUCUACUACUUUGGAAAAAUAUUUAUUUUGAGAAACAACAAUACACAAUAUAUCUACAAGAUUAAUGCUGGAUGAGACUCUUCUCAAUAGUAUAUAAAACUAUUAACUCAAAAUUGGUAGCAAUUAUAUUGAUAUUACUCGUCAAAAUAAAUUAUAAUAGGAAGUAUCAAGGAUAAUAUACAUAUAUAAAUUUAUAUUUAUUACCUUCUUCCAUCCUUAUGAGUGUAAUCAUAUUUAAUCAAGAAAAUCACAAUCGUAAAAGAUUUAUACAAAAUCUUCUCAAAUCGAACAAUAGAGUAAAAACACAUGGGAAUAUGAGAAAAUGUUAACGAAUUCCAUUUGAUCACGGCUAUAUUAAAUCUUUAAUCUGUGUUUUAUCGUCUCGUUCAUAGAUCUAAUUGAAAAAAUAAAAAAUAAUAUUAAAUACGAAAAAAGAACCAAAUAAAUAGAUUAAUAUAACGAUAGAUUGAAAGGAAUUACCACGAUUUAUGAAACCCUCCCGAGCAUAUCAACAUCAUCUAUUCAAAUAUAAUAACACCCUCCCACACAUAUCAACAUUAUCUAUACAAAUAUAAUAACAUAUAUGUUAUAUUAACGAGGAUCAAAUUGAUAGAUAAUGGAAGACUCUUUUUAGAUAGAGAGUAAAGUAGUCUUUGGAAAACGGCGCCACGGAAAUGCGAAAGAGAGAUAGAAAUCAAAU